rnacentral:hammerhead_ribozyme from 1 species
AUCCAACUGACGUGUCCCAAAUAGGACGAAACAUUCAUCAAACUAGAU